CCUACGGGAGGCAGCAGUGAGGAAUAUUGGUCAAUGGACGAGAGUCUGAACCAGCCAAGUAGCGUGAAGGAUGACUGCCCUAUGGGUUGUAAACUUCUUUUAUACGGGAAUAAAGUGAUCCACGUGUGGAUUUUUGUAUGUACCGUAUGAAUAAGGAUCGGCUAACUCCGUGCCAGCAGCCGCGGUAAUACGGAGGAUUCAAGCGUUAUCCGGAUUUAUUGGGUUUAAAGGGUGCGUAGGCGGGUGCUUAAGUCAGUUGUGAAAGUUUGCGGCUCAACCGUAAAAUUGCAGUUGAUACUGGGUACCUUGAGUGCAGCAUAGGUAGGCGGAAUUCGUGGUGUAGCGGUGAAAUGCUUAGAUAUCACGAAGAACUCCGAUUGCGAAGGCAGCUCACUGGAGUGUAACUGACGCUGAUGCUCGAAAG
rnacentral:rRNA from 1 species